AUUUCAAUCCUCUCUCCAUAUGUUUUAAAACAAUGAUACAAGUAAUUAAAAAAUAAUGAUGUAAGUAAAAGAGGAUAUUCAUGAGCCAAAGAGAAUAUUCUGUUCUGUCUGGGACCUUGCCCACAGCCUAUGUUAGAACACCACCCCAGGACCGAUCUCUCUUUCUUAAGUAUUGAAGAAAAGAUGAAAAACAAACAUUGACAUGUGGAUACCUACAGAGGUAAAUCUGUGGAUUUCUUCUUGAUUUAUUCUCCUCACCGUUCGUCUCUUCUUCCGAAAUUCACUGGCCUCCCGUUUAAAGACCUUUCCUCGGAAGCUCAUUGUAUCCUGUUCCUCGAGUCGUGAAAUAUUUAACAAUACCAAUUUCGUUAAACACCUUCCUUCUGAAGCUUCACCAGGCCGAACAAAUCCUCCUUCUCUGGUAAAACGGGAAAUGCUCAUGCUACACUAACAGAACUCAACAGAAAGGAAAAGAAAACCAAGUUACCGCUUCCUGUAACUACCAGCUGUUGAGUUAAGUAAGCUUUUGUGCGUAUAUUCUCUCUAAUCACCUUGUCUAAAGUAAGACAAUAACAUAAAAAUGGCUUUGGACAUUUAAGAGAAUUGCUCAUACCCAAACAAACCAUAAGAUGUAAAAAUCAACUGUGGAACCAAAUCAAGAUUGGAUCAAAGAGCUGAUUGACUGUAGGCCUCCACGUCUGCCACCUAAACAGCCACCGAACUUCAUCAUCCUGGCUAGAUCCCAAAGGUAAACUGUCCUAAUAUACCUAGGAUCUGAGAAGUCUGUUUCAAGCAGUUGCGCAGGAUGAGCCUACUCUCCAGUGAUGCCCACCAGUCUGAUGAAACCACUGCUUGCCCGUGAGACAUUAUGUGGGUUAUAAAGAUGGUCGAAGGAAUAUUUCCACUGAGGUCUGAUCUCCAUGACCACCAAGACAGAAGCAAGCCCUGCCAACCUUCCCAGGCGGAAGGAGAAUUUGAAGACAUAUCCUGUGGGAUAUUCUAUCUGUUCCCUGAAGUGCAGGAAAGCAAAGAAGGCCAUUGAUCCCACACAGAGGUACCAAUGGCAGGGAUGCUGAGAAUUUAGCAAAUAAAUCCAUAUUUUGUUUUUAUUUCAUGGCUUCCGACUUCGUAAGCGUCGUGACCCAUAAGAUAUGGCUUACGUGCAUUGAUUCAUUCAUCAAACCUUUUACUGAGUAUCUAUUUCUAGAAGAAUCCGGCUCCCAUAAUUUUGAACUCAGUUCCUUAGCUGUUCUCGCAUCUACAAAUGUUGAAAUAACUUUAAAAUGACAAAUAAGAUACAGACUAUUCUGCAUCUUUAAGUUAAUAAUUUCAAUUCUCCCCGCUGAACUCAAAAUGCAUUCUCUUUCCUUCUCAGUAAUACCUGGUCUUCUACUUUUCUUUAUUAUUGUAGUGGUCUUAAAUUCUAAUCAUUUAUUUUAAGAUCUUGAAUAUUUUUCUUUGUUCCUUAUCAUUUUUUAAAGCUUACUUAUUUAUGUAUUUAUGUAAUUAUUUAUUUUUUAAAGUUUAUUUAUU